ACAAAGAUGUAUGCAGUGUUUGUGAGUGUCGGAGUUUUUGUCUUUGCUAAUGGUUAUGUUAAUGUCGCCCUCAACAAACCAGCAUACCAACAGUACCAAAUUCCAUGGCACACAUAUGACGCCAGUAACGCUGUGGAUGGACUUAAAUCAGACCUGAGAUAUGUUGGAGGUCAAUGUGCUGUAUCAUAUUCAAAACAAACCUCCACCUGGUGGGUGAACCUGACAACCAUCCACAGCAUCCACCACAUUAUCAUCUACUUCAUAACAUCCAAUAAUCCAUGGGGUCCUUCUAAUUACUUCACUAAGUACCCCCUUGGAUUCUCUGUGUACGUCUCCAAUACAACAGACAGACUACAGGGAACACUGUGUUACAAGGACGACAACUUUAGACUAGACACCAUACCUGCUGUCUUCACCACCACCUGUCCUGUACAUGGACAGUACGUCAUCUACUACAACGAGAGAAUACUAAAUGUUUCCUACCCUGACGAGUAUUCCUAUUCUGUUGCCAGUUUCCUCUGUGAGGUGGAGGUGUAUGGUUGUCCUGCUACCGGAUGUUACGGGUCAAACAAUACCCUCCCCUGUCCAGACGUUAACUGUCAGUACUGUCACAUAGAGACGGGCACCUGUCAGGACUGUCAACCUGGAUAUCAAGGGUACCGAUGUGAACUAGCUUGUGAUAAAGGAAAGUACGGAUCCGAAUGCAGUAAAACAUGUGGAUAUUGUCGUGAUGUAAAACAGUGUUCCAAUAUUAAUGGGACAUGUUUGACUGGAUGUGAUCCCGAUUAUCAAGGAGACUUGUGUAAAACUCCCACACUUAAAGCACAAAAGUACACCUUUCUGGGGGACAUCCUCUAUCACAGUACGGAUAGGCGAGCCUCAUCAGUGACGAUAUUGCACAAUUUGUCAUGAACUUUGAGACCACUGAAAUCUUUUGAUGAAAUUGUAAUGCAAAGCAGCAGUCGGAAAGGAAAUAACAUAUUCUGUUAUUAUUUUUAGAAGCAUUACUGUAAAAUAUGUGCAUUUUACUGAACGAGAUGUUUCCGUAUAAAUACAAUGAAAGAGCAAUUUAAAAAAUAAGACAUUUAUUAUUCAGUAUUGGUUAUUGGUUAUUUUUAUAUUCGUAAUUUGUUUUAAGUGACAUAUUGAUUAAUUGUCAUUAUUAGAUCGCAAUAAAUGGCGAUACCAUUAAUUGCUGAAUAUAGUGGAAGAAUGGAUCAAGUCAUUUCCACAAAAAAUCUUAAUUCGUAGUUGUCUACGCGUUGUCAACAGCAUCGUUAAAAAUCGUAUUAAAUUGCAUAUAGAAUUUUGAUUGUACCAUAUGGUCAUGAUAUGAAAAAUGUUAUAUACUUCUUUUUCUUUAAAUGAAAAUGCAUUAAACCUUGUUACUCAAAUAAAUGUUCUUAACAU
rnacentral:misc_RNA from 1 species